AGCCUGGUAAGGACGCAGUUACUACUGACAUCAGUGCGAAGCUGAUGUUAAAGUCCUUCUGGGUUCCUGCACCAUGGCACUCGGGGAUGGGACUCGGCUCUCAGUGCAAAGAGGCAGCUGAACUCUGUGUUAGUAAUUUUACUUGAAGAUGGCAGGGCAGUUGUUACACUUCUCCAGAUAUGGCAUAUCAGCACACCAAGUUACAAUAAUACACCCGUGAAACUCACAAUAAGAAGCUAAAAUACGGAGUUUGGGAUUUGCUAAGCAAGACUCUCCUUUUUGAGCAACACAAUGGAUCAAAAUCCACAAGAGAUUAUGCAUUCUCUCUUCUCUCUUGAUCCAAGUAUGGAGAACAGAGGCCAUCUAUACCCAUAUAACUAUCCAUAUGGACAGUACCCUUAUCCAUAUCACUACCCUUACUCAGCAGCCCAUCCUUCCGUAGCUCACUCAAAUAUACCACCUGCAUCUCACAGUA